rnacentral:lncRNA from 1 species
ACACUUCACAACAAGUGCUGAACAAAAUACUUACAAAACACUUCAAAAACACAUCUCAAGGACUUAACAAACAAUAACACUUAAAUAAACACUUAAAAAUCACACUUCACUAUUUACACCAAAACACCCAAACACAAACACUUAACCACUUCAAACCACUUCACCCUUCACACUACACACUUCAUACUUUAAAACAAAUACUUAAGCAUUUCAUACUGAAAUAAUUACUUUAACAUUCCACACAUGAACACAAACACACAAACACUUCACACUUGAACACUUAAUAGCUUAAAACAAACACCUUUAACACCUAAACACACAAACACACAAACACUUCACAAGUAAAUAAACACUUCACAAACAAUUACACUUAACUAACACAUAUAAAACACUUCACUAACAGUUAACAAACACUAACACUUAAAAAUUACACUUCACACUUAAAAAAAACACUUUAACACUUUAACGCUUAAACACACACUUUAACACUUAACACUUAAGCACACACUUUAGCACUUCACACUCAACACUUAACCACACACUUUAACACUUUAACGCUUAAACACACACUUUAACACUUAACACUUAAACACACACUUUAGCACUUCACACUCAACACAUAAACACACACUUAAACACUUAACACUUCAACACCUUAACACCUAAAUACCCAAACACCCAAAUACCCCAACACUAAUUGAUUUUAUAUGUACUAUUCCUAGAGAACUUACAUUUACAUUAUAAUAUAGGAAAGAGACUGAUUCAAGUAUAUAAUUUCUAUGAAUAAAAUUAUAUUUCAAAAACAUGUUUAAAUGCAAAACGAAAUUUAAAAAAUUAAAAAUUACAAAAAACCUUUAUCCUACCCCGCACUCUAAUAUAUAGAAGUAAGAAACUCUAUUACUUCAAUAAGAAUUAGAAAGCACCCGUCAAGUUUUGGCUUCAACUUCAUCUACUACCAAUAUAUUGUUGUGUAGUGCCAACUGUGCUUCUUCUAUCUGCAAACAAAAGAGUGAUUUAUGAGAAAAUAGAUAUCAACUGCAAAAUAAAGCUAGACCACUCAACUUGCAUCAUCAUAUGAAUUUAUAAAUACAUAUGCUUUUACCAACUCAAUAUGAUAAUUGACCUAGAACCUUGAUAAAUGGCAUGGACUCAAAAUCUCCUGCAAGCAUGAAAGUUGGUCGUAACAAACAGAAAAUUUUGAAAAUAAAUGUUACUGUCAUUUAUUAUAACUGUACCUAGAGUGUCAUCCAAUUCAAUGACACAUAUCUGCAGGUCCAGGCAUGCCUUCCACUGGUAUCAUUGUUACGCGUCCAAUCCACUUUUGAAUAGCAUCUAUAACGUGAGGAACAAUCUAUAGGUAGCAACAUUACACAAAGGCUAUUGCAAGCCACAAUAGCUGAUGGGUUCAAUAGUUAUUAAAUACCUGGACAGUUUUUUCAGAUAGUCUCCCCUUCUUUUCUUAUCUAUAACAUGCCAAAAGGAAAAAAAAUUAUUAAAAAGAAAUCAGCUAGCUGAUUAUUAUUUUUGAUUUCUCCUAGCAGCAGACACAAAAAUAAUCAAAAAAGAUGUGUAAGUUAAUCUCACCUAGUACAUUUUUUCAGUACUGAUAUUAUUGUCUCUUCUCAACUUGAUAUCCAAAAAAUUCAUAAUUUCUGAUGUCCAGGUUCACCUUUCAAACAACAAAAAAAAGUCAUUUUCUUCCUAACCUUUUAAGCAGUGAUACUUUCUAAACAAUAAUUAAUAGAGAUAAUAAAAGAAAUGAUAAUUAAAAAUUACUCGCCUUUUAGGAAAUAAGAAACUCCCACAUGUACAAAAUAAAAUCAAAAAAGCAUGUAAAAGAAAAUGAAUUCCAAACAGGAAAAAGUUAAUUAUGAUCAUAAAUUAGAAAAUUCACUUUUUGUAUAUGGAUUUCUCGAUAAUAUCAACAAAAAAAGACAAUUUUUUUUUCCUUUUACUUAAGAGUGGAGGAAGGAAGGAAUAGGAAGAGACCUAUUUAAUGAAAAUAACACGAAUACUAAAAAUCAACUACUAACUACUAACCACAAACUUACACACUUGUACACUUCAACAAACACUUGUACGUAACAAAAACUUAACAAAACGCUUCAAAAAUACUGCACAAAGACUUAACAAAUACUAACACUUAACAAACAAUAAAACUUAAAUAUCACAUUUCACACUUAACACCUAAACACACAAACACUUUAACAGUACACACUUCAAACCACUUCACACUACACAUUUCACACUUAAACAAACAUUUUAACACUUCACGCUUAAAUAAACACUAACUUUUAACACCUUAACACAAACACUUCACAUUUCACAAACACUACCAUUUACCAAACACUACAACUUAAACAUUACACUUCACACAUAAGUACUUCACACCCUUAGAGCUUAAUACAGUUAAAAAAAACGUAACAAAUACUUUACAAACACUUAACAAACUAACACCUAAGCAUCACACUUCACACCUUUACACUUUCACACUUAAACACAUAACAACUUAACACACAAAUACACUCACACACUUCACACUUAAGAAACACUAACACUUAAAUAUCAUACUUAACACUGCACGCUUUCACAAAUAAAUACUUAAACACCCAAACACUUAACACCUAACUUCACAUACUUCACACGCCUCACUAUUCACACUUAACAAACAAUAACACUUAAACAUCAUACUUUACACUGCACAUUUUCACACGUAAAUACCUAAACACUUAACACCUUAAUACCUAAACACCUAACUUAACACUUCACACACUUCACAAACUUCACACUCUUCACACUUCACACACUUCACACUCUUCACAACUCCUAACUUCACACUCUUCACACUUCACACAUCACACUUCACACUCUUCGCACUCCGCACUCUUCGCACUCCGCACACUCCGCACUCCGCACUCCGCUCCGCACUCCGCACGCCGCACGCCUUUCUCUCUCCAAAGCACUCUUCACAACACCUAACUUCAUACUUCACACACUUUACACUCUUCACACUCCGCACUCCGCACUCCGCACUCCGCACUCCGCACUCUUCACACUCUUCACAACACCUAACUUCAUACUUCACACACUUUACACUCUUCACACUUCACACUUCACACACAUCACACACACUUCACACUUCACACUUCUCACUCUUUACACUUCACAUUUCACACUUUACACUCGUCACACUUCACAAUUCACAAUUGGCACUUCACACACUCGAACACUUCAUACUCGUCACACUUCACACUUCACACUAUUCACACUUCCCGCACUUUGCACAUUGUCACACUUUGUCACACUUCACAUUUGUCACACACUUCACACUUCACACAUUUCACACACUUCACACUUUACACUUCACACAACACACUUCACACUUUUCACACACUUCACAAUAAGCGCAAAACAAAAUACUUACAAAACACUUCUCAAAGACCUAACAAACAAUAACACUUAAAUAAACACUUAAAAAUCACACUUCACGCUUUACACCAAACCACCCAAACACACAAACACUUAACCACUUCAAACCACUUCACCCUUCAUACUACACACUUCACACUUUAAAACAAAUACUUAAGCAUUUCAUACUUAAAUAAAUACACUAACAUUUAACACCUAAACACAAACACACAAACACUUCACACUUAAACACUUAAUAGCUCACCACAAACACCUAAACACACAAACAAUUACACUUAACAAACAAUUACAAAACACUUCACCAACAGUUAACAAACACUAACACUUAAAAAUUACACAUCACACUUAAAAAAAACACUUUAACACUUUAACACUUAAACACACACUUUAACACUUAACACCUAAGCACACACUUUAGCACUUCACACUCAACACAUAAACACACACUUUAACACUUAACGCUUCAAUACCUAAACACCUAAAUACCUAAACACCCAAACACCUCAACACUAAUUGAUUUUAGAUGUACUAUUCCUAGAGAACUUAUAUUUAUAUUAUAAUAUAGGAAAGAGACUUAUUCAAGUAUAUAAUUUCUAUGAAUAAAAUUAUAUUUCAAAAACAUGUUUAAAUGCAAAACGAAAUUUAAAAAUUUAAAAAUUACAAAAAAUCAUUAUCCUGCCACGCACUCUAAUAUAUAGAAAUAAGAAGCUCUUUUACUUCAAUAAAAAUUAGAAAGCACCCGUCAAGUUUUGGCUUCCUCUUCAUCUACUACCAAUAUAUUGUUGUGUAGUGCCAACUGUGCUUCUUCUAUCUGCAAACAAAAGAGUGAUUUAUGAGAAAACAGAGAUCAACUGCAAAAUAAAGCUAGAGCACUCAAUUUGCAUCAUCAUAUGAAUUUAUAAAUCCAUAUGCUCUUACCAACUCAAUAUGAUAAUUAACCUAGAACCUUGAUAAAUGGCAUGGAUUCAAAAUCUCCUGCAAGCAUAAAAGCUGAUCGUAACAAACAGAAAAUUUUGAAAAUAAAUGUUACUGUCAUUUAUUGUAACUGUACCUAGAGUGUCAUCCAAUUCAAUGACACAUAUCUGUAGGUCCAGACAUGCCUUCCACUGGUAUCAUUGUUACGCGUCCAAUCCACUUUUGAAUAGCAUCUAUAACAUGAGGAACAAUCUAUAGGUAGCAACAUUACACAAAGGCUAUUGCAAGCCACAAUAGCUUAUGGGUACAACAGUUAUUAAAUAUCUGGAGAGUUUUUGUCAGAUAGUCUCCCCUUCUUUUCUUAUCUAUAACAUGCCAAACGGGAAAAAAAUUAUUAAAAAGAAAUCAGCUAGCUGAUUAUUCUUUUUGGUUUCUCCUAGUAGGAGACACAAAAAUAAUCAAAAGAGAUGUGCAAGUUAAUCUCACCUGGUAAAUUUUUCCAGUACUGAUAUUAUUGUCUCUUCUCAACUUGAUAUCCAGAAAAUUCAUAAUUUCUGAUGUCCAGGUUCACCUUUCAAACAACAGGAAAAAGUUAAUUAUGAUCAUAAAUUGGAAAAUUCACCUUUUGUAUAUAGAUUUCUCCGUAAUAUCAACAAAAAAAAAAAUUUUUUUUACUUUUACUUAAAAGAGGAGGAAGAAAGGAAGAGGAAGAGACCUAUUUGAUUAAAAUAACACGAAUACUAAAAAUCAACUACUAACUACUAACCACAAACUCUUAACCCUAACCAUAACCUUAACCAUAUACUAACCCUAACACUUCACAAACACUUAACAAACACUUCAAAAACACUAAACAAACAAUAAACACUUGAACAUUAUACGUAAACUUCAUACUUAAGUGUUUGUACAAAUACUUAAAAAACAAUUAACAAAUACUUUAACAAACACUUCACAAACACUUAACAAACACUAACAUUUAAGCAUCACACUUCACACUUAAACACUAAACACCUUAACACCUUAACACACAAACAUACUCACACGCUUCAAACUUAACAAACAUUAACACUUAAACAUUACACUUUAUACUUUCACACUUAAACAAUUAAACAUUUAACACUUAAACACAAAAAAAAAAAGUUACACACUUGUACACUUCAACAAACACUUAUACCUAACAAAAACUUAACAAAACACUUCAAAAAUACUGCACAAGGACUUAACAAAUACUAACACUUAACAAACAGUAACACUUAAAUAUCACACUUCACCCUUAACACCUAAACACACAAACACUUUAACAGUACACACUUCAAACCACUUCACACUUAAAUAAACAUUUUAACACUUCACACUUAAAUAAACACUUUAACUUUUAACACCUUAACACAAACACUUCACACUUCACAAACAGUACCAUAUACCAAACACUACAACUUAAACAUCACACUUCACACAUAAGUGCUUAACACCUUAAGAGCUUAAUACACUUAAAAAAAACGUAACAAAUACUUCACAAACACUUAACAAACAAACACCUAAGCAUCAAACUUCACACUUCACACCUUCACACUUAAACACUUAACACCCUAACACACAAAUACACUCACACACUUCACACUUAAAAAACACUAACACUUAAACAUCACACUUCACACUACACGCUUUCACACAUAAACACUUAAACACCUAAACAAUUAACACCUUAACACCUAACUUCACAUACUUCACACGCAUCACACACUUCACAUUUCACACUUAAGAAACAAUAACACUUAAACAUCACACUUCACACUGCACAUUUUCACACGUAAACACCUAAACACUUAACACCUUAACACCUAAACACCAAACUUAACACUUCACACACUUCAUAAACUUCACACUCUUCACACUCUUCACACUUCACACACUUCACACUCUUCACAACACCUAACUUCACACUUCACACACUUCACACUUCAUACUACACUUCACACACAAUUCACACACUCUUCGCACUUCACACACUCUUCGCACUUCACACUCGUCACACUUCACACUUCACACUUCACACUUCACACUCGUCACACUUCACACUCGUCACACUUCACAUUUCACACUCGUCACACUUCACACUUCACACUUCACACUCGUCACACUUCACACUCUUCACACAUCACACUUCAUACUUCACACAACACACACUUCACACUUCACACUCUUCAUACUCUUCACAACACCUAACUUCAUACUUCACACACUUCACACUCUUCACACACUUCACACAUCACACACUUCACACAACACUUCACACACAAUUCACACACACUUCACAUUUCUUACUUCUCACUCUUUGUACUUCACAUUUCACACUUCACACUCGUCACACUUCACACUCGUCACACUUCGCACUUCGCACUUCGCACUUCGCACACUUGAACACUUGAACACUUCACACUCUUCACACUUCACACUUCGCACUUCACACUUCGCACUUCACACACUUCACACUCUUUACACUUCCCCACUUCCCGCACUUCGCACUUUGUCACACUUUGUCACACUUCACAUUUGUCACACACUUCACACUUCACACACUUCACACUUCACAUAGCACACUUCAUACUUCACACUUUUCACACACUUCACAACAAGCGCUGAACAAAAUACUUGCAAAACACUUCAAAAACACUUCUCAAUGACUUAACAAACAAUAACACUUAAAAAUCACACUUCACUAUUUACACCAAAACACCCAAACACACAAACAUUUAACCACUUCAAACCACUUCACCCUUCAUACUACACACUUCACACUUUAAAACAAAUACUUAAGCAUUUCAUACAUAAAUAAAUACUUUAACAUUUAACGCCUGAACACAAACACACAAACACUUCACACUUAAACAUUUAAUAGCUUAACACAAACACCUUAAUACAUAAAUACACAAACACACAAACACUUCACAAGUAAAUAAACACUUCACAAACAAUUACACUUAACUAACAAUUACAAAACACUUCACCAACAGUUAACAAACACUAACACUUAAAAAUUACACUUCAUACUUGAAAAAAACACUUUAACACUUUAAUGCUUAAACACACACUUUAACACUUAACACUUAAGCACACACUUUAGCACUUCACACUCAACACAUAAACACACACUUUAACACUAAACACUUCAACACCUUAACACCUAAAUACCUAAACACCCAAACACCUCAACACUAAUUGAUUUUAGAUAUACUAUUCCUAGAGAACUUACAUUUAUAUUAUAAUAUAGGAAAGAGACUUAUUCAAGUAUAUAAUUUUUAUAAAUAAAAUUAUAUUUCAAAAACAUGUUUAAAUGCAAAACGAAAUUUAAAAAUUUUAAAAUUUAAAAAUUACAAAAAAUCAAUAUUAUGCCCCGCACUCUAAUAUAUAGAAGUAAGAAGCUCU